rnacentral:rRNA from 1 species
ACUCCUACGGGAGGCAGCAGUGGGAAUAUUGCACAAUGGGGAAGCCAUCGAUGCAGCCAUGCCGCGUGUGUGAAGAAGGCCAUUCGGGCUUGGUUAAAGACACUUUUCAGUAGGGAGGAAGGUAGUGUAGUUAACACCUGCACUAUUUGACGUUACCUACAGAAGAAGCACCGGCUAACUCCGUGCCAGCAGCCGCGGUAAUACGGAGGGUGCGAGCGUUAAUCGGAAUUACUGGGCGUAAAGCGCAUGCAGGCGGCCUGUUAAGUCAGAUGUGAAAG